CAUAAUUAUUUGUAAGGAUUCUAAAACUUUAUAUUAAGUGUGAUCAAAUUAAACCGUUAGACCUUUUUGAACUUUGACAUAAUUAUUUUGAAAUUUUGCAGCUUCCAAACCGUGACACUCUUUCAGAUUACAUCUUCAGCGAUCGGUUUCGUGAUUGGGAGCUUGCGAAUGAACUUAAUCCAACCAAAGAAAAGGAUCUUAUUGGAUGUCGGAAGAGUUUCAGAGUUUCAGAAAUAUAUCAGCGUUGCGUCUAUCGCAGAUUUCCUUUUGUGAUUAAUAGCAGACCUACGUUCUGCUUAACUAUAGAAUCUCAACUAUAUGAACCGAACUCUGAAGACGAGAAGGUUUCAACUGAUUAUCAUAUCGAGCGUCUCUUACACACAUAUCCUGAAGAGUAUUUUAGACAUUCAGAUCCAGUUCAAUAUUAUGCAGCAGUCCACAAUCGCCGGCAUUUAGUGAAUCCUUACGAAAAUGGAAUUGCUCUUAAAGGAGGAAAAUCGUACAUUUUUUUUGUGUCUAUGAAUGAAGUGGUAAGACUACCCUUUCCUUACACCACAAACUGUACAGAUUACUUAAAACUGUGGAGACAAAACAAUGGAACUGGACCUUUAAAUCAGAAAGUAAAUGUGGUAUUUAUUAAAAACUUCUAAAAUAAUUUUGAUCAUUAUUUCGAU